rnacentral:ncRNA from 2 species
CUCUUAUUCAGAGUGGUGGAGGGACUGGCCCUACGAAACCCGGCAACCGAUCGAUAUGAUUGUGGUGCUAAUUCCAGCAGAGCAGAUGCUCUGAAAGAUAAGAG